GAUGAACGCUAGCGGCAGGCCUAAUACAUGCAAGUCGAACGAUACUUUCCAGCUUGCUGGAGAGGAAAGUGGCGCACGGGUGCGUAACGCGUAUGCAACCUACCUUAAUCAGGGGGAUAGCCCUAAGAAAUUCGGAUUAACACCGCAUAAAAUCACAGUAUAGCAUUAUACAAUGAUCAAAUAUUCAUAGGAUUAAGCUGGGCAUGCGUGACAUUAGUUAGUUGGCGGGGUAACGGCCCACCAAGACCCCGAUGUCUAGGGGAUCGGAGAGGAUGACCCCCCACACUGGUACUGAGACACGGACCAGACUCCUACGGGAGGCAGCAGUAAGGAAUAUUGGUCAAUGGAGGCAACUCUGAACCAGCCAUGCCGCGUGCAGGAAGACAGCCCUCUGGGUCGUAAACUGCUUUUAUUCGGGAAUAAACCUAUCUACGUGUAGAUAGCUGAAUGUACCGAAGGAAUAAGGAUCGGCUAACUCCGUGCCAGCCGCCGCAGUAA
rnacentral:rRNA from 1 species